UGCCGCCAGGAGUGACCGUGGCUGUGGACGACCGACUUGGAUUCGCGCGUCGCCAGCAGGACGUGGAUACGUCAUGUCUUCUACAUCAGUAAGAUCUUUCCAUUGUUUGUGACCGGCAAGACCACUUCUAAAAGUGACGUUUGGGUUGAGCUAUGGUUGUGCACAACUAAACUGAAUUAAGGGACUACAGAGCUGCAGCAAGACCUUUAUUUUGGCCAGAUUUUUUGUUUUUUUUAAAAGGG